CGAGUGAACCACCCCACGCGACUCAGCACUCAACACUCACAACACUCAGCACUCAGCAGUGUUGAUGAGCAGCAAAGUUCGUAUCUUUCCUCAGCUUCAUGCCCCGUGAUCGCUUAUGAACUUCUCUGUUACCUCACCUACCCAUCAUGCGAUUCAAGGUUUCAAGUAUGAUUUGAAUAUGCUCCAGACCGAGUUGUCUUUCACUCAAUUCAAGGUUGCUUCUGGAACGUCCUUGUAUGCGUUUGCUGUUUAUUCAUAAAGAUGGAGCGCACCAGAUUUAACAUGAGGGGUCGUAACUCUGGUUCAACUCCGUCAGAAGAAUCAUCUUUGGACCUUGAAAGAAAUUGUUGCAGUCAUUCUAAUCUGCCUUCACUGAGUCCACCAACACUACAACCAAAAGGGGGUACUACCUGAAACACUUGGUCGGUUGCCAAAGGGGCAGCAGGCAACCACAUUGCUUGAACUCAUGACAAUUAGGGCAUUUCACAGCAAGAUACUGCGUUGUUACAGCCUUGGUACAGCAAUUGGUUUUCGCAUACGGCGAGGUGUAUUAACAGAUAUUCCUGCCAUUUUAGUAUUUGUUUCGAGGAAAGUUCACAAACAAUGGCUCAGCCCAAUCCAAUGUCUACCCACUGCACUUGAGGGGCCUGGUGGAGUAUGGUGUGAUGUAGAUGUGGUGGAAUUCUCUUAUUUUGGUGCCCCAGAGCCAGUUCCAAAGGAACAGCUGUAUACAGAGAUUGUAGAUGACUUGCGUGGGGGUGACCCUUGCAUUGGUUCAGGAUCUCAGGUGGCAAGCCAGGAGACAUAUGGAACUUUGGGUGCCAUUGUUAGGAGCCAAACAGGUAGUCGGCAGGUUGGUUUUCUCACAAAUCGACAUGUCGCAGUUGACCUGGAUUAUCCGAAUCAAAAGAUGUUUCAUCCUCUUCCACCCACCUUGGGGCCUGGGGUUUACCUUGGUGCAGUAGAGCGAGCAACUUCAUUUAUAACAGAUGAACUUUGGUAUGGCAUAUUUGCUGGAAUAAACCCAGAGACUUUUGUGAGAGCCGAUGGCGCAUUUAUUCCUUUUGCCGAUGACUUUGACAUGUCCACUGUUACUACUGUAGUGAGAGGCGUUGGAGAUAUCGGUGAUGUAAAAAUUAUUGACCUACAGGCACCAAUUAGUAGCCUUAUUGGAAAACAGGUGGUGAAGGUCGGAAGAAGUUCCGGCUUGACUACAGGCAUUGUUUUGGCUUAUGCCUUAGAGUAUAAUGAUGAAAAAGGAAUAUGCUUUCUAACAGAUUUUCUUGUGGUUGGCGAGAACCAGCAAACGUUUGACCUCGAAGGAGACAGUGGAAGUCUCAUCAUGUUAAAGGGUGACAAUAGCGAGAAACCACGACCAAUUGGGAUCAUAUGGGGAGGAACGGCUAAUAGGGGCCGCCUUAAGUUGAAAAUUGGGCAACCUCCUGAGAAUUGGACUAGUGGGGUUGAUCUAGGCCGUCUUCUCAAUCUACUUGAACUCGAUUUGAUAACAACAGAUGAAGGACUAAGAGUGGCGGUGCAAGAACAAAGAGCUGCUUCUGCAACCGCGAUUGGCUCUACAGUUGGCGACUCAUCAACCCCUGAUGCUAUGCUUCUGAAAGAUAAAUCCGUAGAUAAGUACGAGUCACUUGGUCUUCAGAUUCAGUCCAUUCCCUUAGGAGUUGAGACUAGCAACCAAGACAUGAAACCGUCGAAUAUGGAGACUGAAUUUCAUUUAGAAGAUGGGAUCAAGGUAGCUCCCAGUAUCGAACACCAGUUCAUCCCGAGUUUCGUGAGCCGGUCUCCACUGCACAAGAACAGCAUGCAGGAGCGGGCUGCGACCGAGAACUUGUCCUUGUUAAGGAGUGGCUGCGACGAAGAUUUAUGCGUUUCGCUGCAUCUUGGUGAUAACGAAGCAAAGAGAAGGCGUUCUGAAGCAUCAACUAGCACUGAGGAAGCUCAGUGAAGGAUGAACCUGCUUGUUAAAGGAUUCAAUCAUUUUUAAUUAGUCCCUUUUUUUCACCGGGUAACGUGUUGUUUGUAACAUUUAUGAUACUGUAUUUUAUGCUUAGAAGCUGAGACAAUGAGCAAUGAUCUUUGUGGAGUUCGCUAUCUAUGAAAGUGAAUCUGUGGUUAGAGACAGAGAAGAAAAGUUUGUCUUGGUGUCUAGUUGAUAGCUUUACAACUCCUCCUUUUUCUAAAAGAAGAAAACAAAAAAAUCUGAAGAUCAUAUUUCCAUUCAAA